UAGGGAAUCUUCGGCAAUGGACGGAAGUCUGACCGAGCAACGCCGCGUGAGUGAAGAAGGUUUUCGGAUCGUAAAGCUCUGUUGUAAGAGAAGAACGAGUGUGAGAGUGGAAAGUUCACACUGUGACGGUAUCUUACCAGAAAGGGACGGCUAACUACGUGCCAGCAGCCGCGGUAAUACGUAGGUCCCGAGCGUUGUCCGGAUUUAUUGGGCGUAAAGCGAGCGCAGGCGGUUAGAUAAGUCUGAAGUUAAAGGCUGUGGCUUAACCAUAGUAGGCUUUGGAAACUGUUUAACUUGAGUGCAAGAGGGGAGAGUGGAAUUCCAUGUGUAGCGGUGAAAUGCGUAGAUAUAUGGAGGAACACCGGUGGCGAAAGCGGCUCUCUGGCUUGUAACUGACGCUGAGGCUCGAAAGCGUGGGGAGCAAACAGGAUUAGAUACCCUGGAAGUCCACGCUGUAAACGAUGAGUGCUAGGUGUUAGACCCUUUCCGGGGUUUAGUGCCGUAGCUAACGCAUUAAGCACUCCGCCUGGGGAGUACGACCGCAAGGUUG
rnacentral:rRNA from 1 species